UACGAAGGGGGCUAGCGUUGCUCGGAUUGACUGGGCGUAAAGGGCGCGUAGGCGGUUUGUACAGUCAGACGUGAAAUUCCUGGGCUCAACCUGGGGGCUGCGUUUGAUACGUGCGAGCUUGAGUUCGGAAGAGGGUCGUGGAAUUCCCAGUGUAGAGGUGAAAUUCGUAGAUAUUGGGAAGAACACCGGUGGCGAAGGCGGCGACCUGGUCCAUUACUGACGCUGAGGCGCGAAAGCGUGGGGAGCAAACAGG
rnacentral:rRNA from 1 species